GUGUCCUUAGGACAGUGAUUAGUACACUUAACAUGGGCAUAAGAGAUAAGGGUUUGAUUCCCACAGGACACA